rnacentral:ncRNA from 2 species
GCGGCGGGCCGUGACUGGCGCGCUGAGAUGGACCAACCAUCGGGGAGCGGCCCCUGGACCGCCGUCCAGACCGAGUGCCGUGCGCCUGGGCCGUACCG